CUCGAGGCCAGAUCUUUCCGGUUGAUCCUGCCGGACCUGACUGCUAUCGGAUUGAUACUAAGCCAUGCGAGUCAUUGUAGCAAUACAAGGCAGACGGCUCAGUAACGCGUAGUCAACCUACCCUAUGGACGGGAAUAAACUCGGGAAACUGAGUAUAAUGCCCGAUAGAACAUUAUGCCUGGAAUGGUUUAUGUUCCAAAUGAUUUAUCGCCGUAGGAUGGGACUGCGGCCUAUCAGUUUGUUGGUGAGGUAAUGGCCCACCAAGACUAUUACAGGUACGGGCUCUGAGAGGAGUGGCCCGGAGAUGGGUACUGAGACACGGACCCAGGCCCUAUGGGGCGCAGCAGGCGAGAAAACUUUGCAAUGUGCGAAAGCACGACAAGGUUAAUCCGAGUGAUUUGUGCUAAACGAAUCUUUUGCCAGUCCUAGAAACACUGGUGAAUAAGGGGUGGGCAAGUUCUGGUGUCAGCCGCCGCGGUAAAACCAGCACCUCAAGUGGUCAGGAUGAUUAUUGGGCCUAAAGCAUCCGUAGCCGGCUCUGUAAGUUUUCGGUUAAA
rnacentral:rRNA from 1 species